GAUGAACGCUGGCGGCGUGCUUAACACAUGCCAGUCGAACGGAAAGGCUCCUGCUUGCCGGGGUACUCGAGUGGCGAACGGGCGAGUAACACGUGGGUGAUCUGCCCUGCACUUCGGGAUAAGCCUGGGAAACUGGGUCUAAUACCGGAUAGGACCUCAUUUUGGAUGGUGUGGUGGAGAGUUUUUCGGUGUGGGAUGAGCUCGCGGCGUAUCAGCUUGUUGGUGGGGUAAUGGCGUACCAAGGCGCCGACGGGGAGCCGGCCUGAGAGGGUGUACGGCCGCAUUGGGACUGAGAGACGGCCCAGACUCCGACGGGAGGCAGAAGGGGGGAAUAUUGGACAAUGGGCGCAAGCCUGAGGCAGCGAGGCCGCGGGGGGGAUGACGGCCUUCGUGUUGUAAGCUCCUGUGGCUAGGGAAGAAGCGUUUUUGUGACGGUACCUGGAGAAGAAGCACCGGCUAACUACGUG
rnacentral:rRNA from 1 species